UUCCCUCUCUCCAGGCCAAUCGUUACCACGGAGUACCAAGGCGGGUCCUCCCUCUCCAUGUCCUUCCGCAGCCGCUCCCUCAUCAGCCUCCGCCGCAACCAAGUCGCCUCCAUGGAGCAAGGCCAAGAACACCAACUCCACGAGCUCGACCUCUUCCUCUCCCACGUCGCUGACCGCCUCCUCUCCCUCCUCCCCCCGGAUUCCCCCAAACACUCCCCCCAGAAGCCUCACCCUCAGCCUCUCCUCUCUCUCGCCUUCCUCUCCAACCUUCUCGACGCCCUCCUCGCCAUCGACGCCGAGUUCCGCCCUCUCCUCCUCCUCCUCCUCAACCGCGGCGGCUCACCCGCCACCGCCGCUACCUCCCGCCCCGUCGCCGACCUUCUCGACCGCGCCGUCAAGUCCCUCGACCUCUGCAACACCGUCUCCCUCUCCCUCCACUCCCUCUGCCACUGGCUCCGCCACGCCCGCAUCGCCUCCUCCGCUCUCCUUCUCCCACGACCCGCCCUCCUCCGCGCCCACCGCGCCCUCUCCAAGCUCCUCCCUUCCGACGCCGGCAUCCUCCGGACCGAGCGAUCGGGAUCCUUCGGCCGGCGGGAGGCGAGCUCGAGAUCUUCGUCUUGGAGCGUGUCGAGGAACUGGUCGGCGCACCUCGCCGCCCCGCGCGGUGGCGAGGGGGAGGGGGGGGCUGGCGGCGGCGGUGUACACGAUGAGCGCCAGUCAGGGUCCAACCUUCUUUAUUUCUUUUUCAAUCCUUCUACACCGUGAAGAGGCAUAUCAGAGAUUGAUGGUACAUCUCUCCGUCAAGAAGAACUCCACAUUGAUAAAGGGGGCUCCAUCUUCGAUGCAUAAUUGGAGGAUUCGGUUCUUUUUUGUUUCUGAUCCUUUUGUAGAGGAGUGGGGAUGUCCACACUGGGGUCAGUCGAGAAAUUCUAACUUCCAGAUCCUGAAGUUGGGAGAUGAAGAUCAAGAGCGCUUUGAGACUUUGAGGAGAUAUAAAGUUCUCCCGCUAAAGGAGUUGCUAUCAAAGCAGUCUCUCUUUAAUAUUGGUGUUAAUCUGGCUGAUCCCAGAGGUGAGGAGAUCUCUAUUUCUCCUCCUGAUGCCUCUUUUGUGGCCUUUCACUGA